rnacentral:lncRNA from 7 species
GCCGGGGCAGGAAGUGCUUGCCGGCGGCGGAGAGCAGUUCCGGGGCAGCGCGGCAUGGCGGCGCGAGGCCGGUGAGCGGGGCCGGGAGGAGCGGGCUGUGUCCUGGGCACGGGCUCGGGGCUCGGGGCUCGGGGCGGGGGCAUGGAGGGGCUCUCGGGGGAGGAGCUCGUGGUGCUGCCGGCACGCACGCAGAGGCGAGGCGUGCGGUGCGGUGCGGUGCGGUGCGAGCGAGUGGUGCUUGUAGGAGCUGAGCUGGAUGCUGUGGCAGGCAGCUCCCAAUGAAUAUCUUGGCCCCCACAGCCACUGCGGGCUGUGCUCUGCUGGCUUGGCACCGGGAGGACAGCCCCGAUGAGUGGGCACGGACGCAGCCACGGUUGGCAAGAAGGACAAGCGGGUGCUGUCCUAGCAGUGUCUUCCCACAAGGAUCAAGCUUCCUGCGUAUGGCCGUAGCACCCCUGAUGCUCUCGGCAGGCACGGCAGCCUGUGGCCCGCAUCAGCUCUGUGCCCCAGCUGCUGCCUCUCUGCUCCCCGCUGCCAGCUGCCUGCUUCGUGGCAGGAGGAGAUGCUCUCUUGCUGUCACCGAGUAUGAGCAGUAG